rnacentral:tRNA from 1 species
GGAUUUUUAGUAUAUUUAGUAUUUUUAAUUGCAAAUUAAAAGGUUUAAAGUCUU